rnacentral:rRNA from 1 species
AACGAACGCUGGCGGCGUGUUUAAGACAUGCAAGUCGCACGGGAUAAGACAUGUAGUAAUACUUGUUUUAUUUAGUGGCGCACGGGUGAGUAACACGUGAAUUACAUGCCCUAUAGUGGGGAAUAGCCCAGGGAAACUUGGAUUAAUACCCCAUGGUAUCGAAAGAUUAAAGGUGGCCGCAAGGCUGUCGCUAUAGGAUUGGUUCGCGCCCUACAAGCUUGUUGGUGAGGUAACGGCUCACCAAGGCAAUGACGGGUACCUGGUCUGAGAGGACGAUCAGGCACACUGGAACUGAGACACGGUCCAGACACCUACGGGUGGCAGCAGUCGAGAAUAAUUCACAAUGGGGGCAACCCUGAUGGUGCAACGCCGCGUGGAGGAUGACGGUCUUCGGAUUGUAAACUCCUGUCAUCUGGGAGAAAGACCUGACGGUAAAUAGCCGGCAGGGUUGAUAGUACCAGAAGAGGAAGGGACGGCUAACUUCGUGCCAGCCGCCGCCGUAA